AAUGAACGCUGGCGGCGUGCCUAAUACAUGCAAGUCGAGCGAACGGACGGGAAGCUUGCGUCUCUGCUGUUAGCGGCGGACGGGCGAGUAACACGUGGAUAACCUACCUCUAAGACUGGGAUAACUUCGGAGAACCGGAGAUAAUACCGGCUGAUAUUUUGAACGGCAUGGUUCAAAAGUGCAAGACAGUUUUGCUGUCACUUAUAGAUGGAUCCGCGCUGCAUUAGCUAGUUGGUAAGGUAACGGCCUACCAAGGCAACGAUGCAUAGCCGACCUGAGAGGGUGAUCGGCCACACUGGAACUGAGACACGGUCCAGACUCCUACGGGAGGCAGCAGUAGGGAAUCUUCCGCAAUGGGCGAAAGCCUGACGGAGCAACGCCGCGUGAGUGAUGAAGGUCUUCGGAUCGUAAAACUCUUUUAUUAGGGAAGAACAUAUGUGUAAGUAACUGUGCACAUCUUGACGGUACCUAAUCAGAAAGCCACGGCUAACUUCGUG
rnacentral:rRNA from 1 species